AUUGAACGCUGGCGGCAGGCCUAACACAUGCAAGUCGAGCGGAUGAAGGGAGCUUGCUCCUGGAUCCAGCGGCGGACGGGUGAGUAAUGCCUAGGAAUCUGCCUGGUAGUGGGGGAUAACGUCCGGAAACGGGCGCUAAUACCGCAUACGUCCUGCGGGAGAAAGUGGGGGAUCUUCGGACCUCACGCUAUCAGAUGAGCCUAGGUCGGAUUAGCUAGUUGGUGGGGUAAAGGCCUACCAAGGCGACGAUCCGUAACUGGUCUGAGAGGAUGAUCAGUCACACUGGAACUGAGACAGCGUCCAGACUCCUACGGGAGGCAGCAGUGGGGAAUAUUGGACAAUGGGCGAAAGCCUGAUCCAGCCAUGCCGCGUGUGUGAAGAAGGUCUUCGGAUUGUAAAGCACUUUAAGUUGGGAGGAAGGGCAGUAAGUUAAUACCUUGCUGGUUUGACGUUACCAACAGAAUAAGCACCGGCUAACUUCGUG
rnacentral:rRNA from 1 species